rnacentral:rRNA from 1 species
GAUGAACGCUGGCGGCGUGCCUAAUACAUGCAAGUCGAGCGAACAGACGAGGAGCUUGCUCCUCUGACGUUAGCGGCGGACGGGUGAGUAACACGUGGAUAACCUACCUAUCAGACUGGGAUAACUUCGGGAAACCGGAGCUAAUACCGGAUAACAUGUUGAACCGCAUGGUUCAACAGUGAAAGACGGUCUUGCUGUCACUUAUAGAUGGAUCCGCGCCGCAUUAGCUAGUUGGUAAGGUAACGGCUUACCAAGGCAACGAUGCGUAGCCGACCUGAGAGGGUGAUCGGCCACACUGGAACGGAGACACGGUCCAGACUCCUACGGGAGGCAGCAGUAGGGAAUGUUCCGCAAUGGGCGAAAGCCUGACGGAGCAACGCCGCGUGAGUGAAGGAGGUCUUCGGAUCGUAAAACUCUGUUAUUAGGGAAGAACAGAUGUGUAAGUAACUAUGCACGUCUUGACGGUACCUAAUCAGAAAGCCCCGGCUAACUACGUG